UACGAAGGGGGCUAGCGUUGCUCGGAAUUACUGGGCGUAAAGCGCACGUAGGCGGUCUUUUAAGUCGGGGGUGAAAGCCUGGAGCUCAACUCCAGAACUGCCUUUGAGACUGCAUCGCUUGAAUCCGGGAGAGGUGAGUGGAACUGCGAGUGUAGAGGUGAAAUUCGUAGAUAUUCGCAAGAACACCAGUGGCGAAGGCGGCUCACUGGUCCGGUACUGACGCUGAGGUGCGAAAGCGUGGGGAGCAAACAGG
rnacentral:rRNA from 1 species